rnacentral:lncRNA from 1 species
CCUUUUUGAUUAUGACAUCUAAUUGGUGGGAUUUUGCCACAUUAAAGCGCUGGUUAGUUGACCACGAACUGAAAAUCUCCUUGAACAUCACUUUUGAGAGAAAGGACGGGGCAAGGGGGUCAGAUUCCCGACGUGGAGUGGUUGUGCACUCCUACGUGUCAAAAUAUCACAUAAGCUCUGGGGUAGUGGCUUCUUCGGGCAUGUGCUGUAAAAAUAAAUCAAUACAGUAGGAAACGCGCUGGAAGUAAAUUAAGUGAUGGAUAAUAUUUGCAAGACUGGAGUGGAGGCUGUAAGAAAAUUAUCAUAAAAUAUAGUAAUGCAUAAGGAGUACUUGGAUAAUGUCUUUCUAAUGA